AAGACAUUGUGUCUUCGAGUCGUUGAUUUCACACUGCCGAGAAAAGCCUCUAGAUAGAAAAUAGGUGCCCGUACCGCAAACCGACACAGGUAGUCAAGAUGAGAAUUCUAAGGUGAGCGAGCGAACUCUCGUUAAGGAACUCGGCAAAAUGACCCCGUAACUUCGGGAGAAGGGGUGCUCUUUAGGGUUAACGCCCAGAAGAGCCGCAGUGAAUAGGCCCAAGCGACUGUUUAUCAAAAACACAGGUCUCUGCUAAACCGU
rnacentral:rRNA from 1 species